GACAGAGGUGCCAAGCGUUAGGCGGAAUCACUGGGCUUAAAGCGUGUGUAGGCGGGUGCCUAAGUACCUUGUGAAAUCCCACGGCUCAACCGUGGAACUGCUUGGUAUACUGGGUGUCUUGAGCCAUCUAGGGGCUACCGGAACAAAUGGUGGAGCGGUGAAAUGCGUAGAUAUCAUUUGGAACGCCAACUGGUGAAAACAGGUAGCUGGGGAUGUGCUGACGCUGGAGACACGA
rnacentral:rRNA from 1 species